rnacentral:misc_RNA from 1 species
GAUGAAGAACGCAGCGAAAUGCGAUAAGUAGUGUGAAUUGCAGAAUUCAGUGAAUCAUCGAAUCUUUGAACGCACAUUGCGCCCUUUGGUAUUCCUUAGGGCAUGCCUGUUCGAGCGUCAUUUAAACCUUCAAGCCCUGCUUGGUGUUGGGUGCCUGUCCCGCCUCCGCGCGUGGACUCACCUCAAAUCCAUUGGCGGCCCCCGCACGGCCACGAGCGCAGCAGAAACGCAAACUCGUGCCCGGACCGGGCGGCUCCCAGAAGCUACACUCACCAUUUUGACCUCGGAUCAGGUAGGGAUACCCGCUGAACUUAAGCAUAUCAAUAAGCGGAGGA